rnacentral:lncRNA from 1 species
AGAGGCCUAGGGGAGACCAUUUCCAUCCUGGAGGUUGGUGUAGAGUUUCCUUCCUUUUUCAACAGUGUUUGCAAGAUUUCCAUAACCAAGUUCAUCUGAGUCUUCAGUUGACUGAUAUCUUCCUUCAAUGCAGCUUGGCCUUGUUGGAGUUCUUCCACAGUGGCUUGAGACAUGCUUCUAGUUCUAAGCGUACAUCGAGAAAUCAGCUAGUGGGGUAGAAACAGAAGAUGGUAUAAGGUUUUGCUUAUGAGAGGUAAAUGAUGCAUGAAUGC